CAAACAAACAAAAAAAUACCAACACAACACAUAUUGAGAAUCACAGCAUCUUCCCAUUAGUCAUUAGGAAAGAGAAAAAUGCAAUAACAAACAUACUUCACUGAUGACAAUUUGGUCUCAAUAAUUAACUCUAGUACACAGAAAUAAAAGCAAGAAUAUCUAGGAAAACCUUACGUAACAAAACCAAGAAGGAGCGGGGACAGAAGCUUCUAUCUGUACUGAACUCCCUGGCACUGAACCCUCUGCACCUGUGUCUUUGUGGGGAUGAGUAAUGCAACCUCCAUGAAGUGUCAUAAGAAGGAAACAGCAAUCUGGACAAAGAAUCAGAGUUAUUGAUGUCGGUCUUGCAGUAGGCUAAAUGAGCAAGAUAUGAUGCUCCCUGCCCCCUCUUCUGGACCUUCCACUGCCGAAGCACGUUGGACAUCACUCAGAUAUUUUCUCAAAGGAACAUCCAAAUGGAGGUCUUGGCCUCCCGCCGGAAACUGUGGACAACGAUAAAAAGAAUUAGUCUUUGGGUGGUGUUCUACUAUAAUCAGUAGUAGAAAAAGGGAAAAUAUUUUUCAUAACAGCCCAUGGGGUUACCAAGGUUGACACAAGUAAAAGUGAAUGUUAAAUUUGGUCAUUUUUUUCCCUGUGUACUGCAGUCCUUCUCGUCUGUCUCAGGAGUUACUGUUUAGCCCCGGUCACCAGAGGGACAGGAAAAACAAGCUGAACAACAAGAGAGAAAUUUGUGUGAUUUCAACUGCUCUUGUUUUGAUUUUUGAGUGACAAGUGGCAGAAAGCCAACAUUUAAGCUAAUGCUUGGAAAGAAGGGAUGAGUUCAUUGUACUUGUGUUCAAAGCAUGCCCACGGUUAGCCGAACAGAACAAUUUACCAUUGUUGAAAGGCUGAGAAGGACACGACUACCUUCCUGAAUGCAGCAUGGAGUUUAACACUGGGGAGCAAGAAGAGCUGUUUAACUUAAAGAACGUGUUGGCACAGGAAUAAAACAAAAGGAUAAAAAAUUAAGUGGAACUCAAAAUUUGAAGAUUUUCAACCACUGCAGGACUAAAGUUAUAGAAAUGUCUUUAGAUUUAGAUACACAUAUCAACAGAAUCUCAUUCCUAGAGAUGAACCCACAAAAUUUAUCUGAUAUAUUUUUUAUUUUUUUUCUCAUUCCUCUCUUGGAAAGGAAAAUUUAAAAAUUGACUCAUAGAAGUGCUAUACUGACAUGGUUAUCAUCGCCUUGAGUCUGCCAUAUUUUGCAGAGAAGUAACUGUAACUGUGUGUUUAUCCACCUGAAUUUUACAGCUAGACUUGCACAUUUGCUCUCUCUCUUUUAUUUUUUUUUCUUCUUACGUAUAUUCUUGCGUGCAAUAUCUUUAAAAGAUUAAAUACAUUACUAUUCAAAAGGCAACGUUUCAAUUCUACUUAUACUCCCAUUUUUUUUUUUCAGUGAGACUGAGUACUACAAUGUAGUUUCUAAAAGUGAAAGAAUUUCGGUUUUGUAAAAUAUAUUAAUAUAGAAAGGCUUUUGAAGAAGGAAUUUGAAAGACUCUGCAAUGGUCUAUUAUUACCUAGUCCAUAAGGUAGUUCACAGUAGCUUACCUUGUGAUGGUGUAUAUGACUGAGCAUUUUUUUUGAACUUUGGAACAUGUAGUGGGGAAUGAAUUAAGCUAUCCGUCAUUUCACAGAGUGGUUCUAGAGGAAGAUUAAGCCUCACCUGUGGAUCUCCCUGAAGUAUCGUGCUUUGUGGACGUACUUGAAGCAAACGCACUUUUAUAAUAUCGGGUCAUUGUGCAGAACUAUUUCCCCUGUAAUAAAUAUUCAUCAAACAAGC